UGUUCAAUGUUACCGAAACUUAACAAACAUUACCCAAUAAUUUCCGAUGCUAGAUUCCAUAUCCGUGAUUUAACCAUAACUUGGUAGAAAUAUUAUUUAUUUUCAGAUACAGAAUCAAUAUCUACAAUAGGCCCUAGAUUCUAGAUCUAGAUCUAGAUCUAAGUUAAAGAAGAUUCCAUUCAACCGUUGCCAAGAAGGGUGCAAUUUGUUUACAAACAACACUCAGCACAGACCACUGAGUCAAGUUGUGAUGGCAACAGAAUUGUGUGGAUUAUUCCCAGAUGACGAUUUUAACCGAGCAAUAGAUGAGCUCGAUAAACCUGAUGUGGAUGGUUGGGAAUUUUUUGUAGAAUCUCAUGGAGUGACUAUUUAUCGUCUUUUCAAUGAGGGUUCUGGAUUGUAUGAGUAUAAAAUCUAUGGAGAGUUGGAUGAUGUUACACCAGAUAUUUGUGCUCAAGUUUACAUGGAUUUGGAUUAUCGAAAAAUGUGGGAUAGUUAUGCAAAAGUUCUUGAAGUAAGGAAGUGUAAAGAAGGAAACCUAGUAUACUGGGAGGUCAACUACCCAUUCCCUUUAUGGAAUCGUGAUGUAUCCUUUUUAAACAACAACCAGUACCUAUAUGGAAGGGAAUUGAGAGAACUGGAUAAAGAUGGCAAGAAAGUUUGGAUUGUUCUAGCCAAAUCCAUUCAAUCUCCUGAUGUAGCAGAGAAAAGUGGAGUUGUAAGGGUCAAAGAUUAUUUGCAAAGUGCAGCCUUGUGUACAAAUGGCAGUUCAGGGACUAAAGCCUUUAUGCGUUAUUAUGACAACCCGGAGGGUAAUAUUCCAACAUGGUUGAUCAACUGGGCAGCCAAGACAGGUGUCCCCCAGUUUUUAACUAUGAUGCACGCAGCUUGUCGAGGAUAUCCAAAGUAUCUGGAAGCCAACAGGAGAGCCACGUAACCAUGACAACGUGUGAACCUAUCCAAAGUAUUUUAAGACCAGCAGGAGAGAUCUUUGGAUUAAAAUUUCAGUAUUUUUUGCUGUAAAUUUGAUUGAAUUAUCAUGUAGAAAUUUCAGUAUUUUUUGCUGUAAAUUUGAUUGAAUUAUCAUGCAGAAAUUUCAGUAUUUCAUAGAACUGAUACUGGUAGCACUUUGAACAAUUAUGAUCAAGGAAAUCCUCAGACAUUUUUACAAUUCAAUCUUGAAUUUAAGAAUUUGUCACACAUAUUGUUUGUCAAAGGGAAGGUAAUAAUUAAAAGUCAACUGAUUGGAUGAAAUAAGAUUUGUAAAUUAGAGGCAAAGUAUAAUUGUAUUAGAAAAAAAAAAUCUGUACUGCAUAUCAUAGUAGACUCAACAUGGCUAACCUUAUGACAGUUUUUCUCUCAUUGCCUAGUGUAAAGUGUGUGGGUUAAUUUCUUUAUGUUUUGUUCAAUGAUCUACUAAGGUAGCUGUGAGAUUUAACGAAUACAGAAAGCUAAGUCCAUAUGUGGAGCAAGACAUAUAGUAAGUUCAUGUGUAUAUAUAACAUAAAGAAUGUAUUAAAAUUAAAGGACACUACAAUUCAUCUUUAAAAAUGCAACAGCUUAUAAAAAAAAAAAUGGUUUAAACUUCUGAAUAACUAUUGCCUCCAUAAAAACUGGUUACAUUCAAAUAUACCAAAGAAUAAACAUAAAAAAUAGAUCUUUAUAUUCUAUACGAUCAGGCACAAAAAAUGUGGAGAUAUCCAAACCCUGCAAUUAACUGAAAUGUGGAAACACCCCAUCCUGGAACAAUUCCUUUAAGGCACAAUGAAUGAAAGGCAACCAUUUUUAGCUGGGGCAGCAGGCCCUAAAUGAGUGGUCAAACUCAUUUUUAGCUGGGGCAGUAGGCCCUAAAUGAGUGGUCAAACUUGCCCUAAAUGAGUGGUCAAACUCAUUUUUAGCUGGGGCAGCAAGCCCUAAAUGAGUGGUCUAACUCGUUUUAGCUGGGGCAGUAGGCCCUAAAAUGAGUGGUCAAACGAGGAAAAACCAUUUGACUAGAGGUCAGGUACUGGCUUAAUGGUGCUAUCUAUUUAGAAUUGACAUCAAACUAUACAAAUAAUAUUCUCACGUAACCAAAAUCUACCUGAGAUUAAAAUGUAUAAACAUGUAAGACAAAAAACUUAUUGACAUCACUUAUUGAAAUCAUGUAGUUGACCAUUGGUUACAUAAACAUGUAUCAUAACAAGUUGAAAUUAUGUAGUUGACCAUUGGUUUACAUAAACAUGUAUCAUAACAAGUUGAAAUUAUGUAGUUGAACAUAGGUUACAUAAACAUGUAUCAUAACAAGUUGAAAUUAUGUAGUUGACCAUAGGUUACAUAAACAUGUAUCAUAACAAGUUGAAAUUAUGUAGUUGACCAUUGGUUACAUAAAUAUGUAACUAAUGACUAACUGAAACAAGGCAAUAAAAAAAAGAAUGACUUAUUUUAGAAUGAGUUUAAAAAAUCUGAUAAUGGAAUCUGGUUCAAAUAUUUGACCUUACACCAAUUUGG